UACUCGUUAAGGCUGAGCUGUGAUGGGGAGAAGACAUUGUGUCUUCGAGUCGUUGAUUUCACACUGCCGAGAAAAGCCUCUAGAUAGAAAAUAGGUGCCCGUACCGCAAACCGACACAGGUAGUCAAGAUGAGAAUUCUAAGGUGAGCGAGCGAACUCUCGUUAAGGAACUCGGCAAAAUGACCCCGUAACUUCGGGAGAAGGGGUGCUCUUUAGGGUUAACGCCCAGAAGAGCCGCAGUGAAUAGGCCCAAGCGACUGUUUAUCAAAAACACAGGUCUCUGCUAAACCGUAAGGUGAUGUAUAGGGGCUGACGCCUGCCCGGUGCUGGAAGGUUAAGAGGAGUGGUUAGCUUCUGCGAAGCUACGAAUCGAAGCCCCAGUAAACGGCGGCCGUAACUAUAACGGUCCUAAGGUAGCGAAAUUCCUUGUCGGGUAAGUUCCGACCCGCACGAAAGGCGUAACGAUUUGGGCACUGUCUCAACGAGAGACUCGGUGAAAUCAUAGUACCUGUGAAGAUGCAGGUUACCCGCGACAGGACGGAAAGACCCCGUGGAGCUUUACUGUAGCCUGAUAUUGAAAUUCGGCACAGCUUGUACAGGAUAGGUAGGAGCCUUUGAAACGUGAGCGCUAGCUUACGUGGAGGCGCUGGUGGG
rnacentral:rRNA from 1 species